UAAAGCUCCCUUCGGGGAGUGCAUAAAGAGGCGCACGGGUGAGUAACACGUAAGUAAUCUACCCUCGGGUGGGGAAUAACGUCCGGAAACGGACGCUAAUACCGCAUAAUGCAGCGGCACCGCAAGGUGACAGUUGUUAAAGAUUUAUUGCCUGGGGAGGAGCUUGCGGCAGAUUAGCUAGUUGGUAAGGUAACGGCUUACCAAGGCUACGAUCUGUAUCCGGUCUAAGAGGACGGUCGGACACACUGACACUGAAUAACGGGUCAGACUCCUACGGGAGGCAGCAGUCGGGAAUUUUGGGCAAUGGGGGAAACCCUGACCCAGCAACGCCGCGUGAAGGAUGAAGUAUUUCGGUAUGUAAACUUCGAAAGAAUAGGAAGAAUUAAUGACGGUACUAUUUAUAAGGUCCGGCUAACUACGUGCCAGCAGCCGCGGUAAUACGUAGGGACCAAGCGUUGUUCGGAUUUACUGGGCGUAAAGGGCGCGUAGGCGGCGCGGUAAGUCACUUGUGAAAUCUCUGAGCUUAACUCAGAACGGCCAAGUGAUACUGCAGUGCUAGAGUGUGGAAGGGGCAAUCGGAAUUCUUGGUGUAGCGGUGAAAUGCGUAGAUAUCAAGAGGAACACCUGAGGUGAAGACGGGUUGCUGGGCCAACACUGACGCUGAGGCGCGAAAGCCAGGGGAGCAAACGGGAUUAGAUACCCCGGUAGUCCUGGCCCUAAACGAUGAAUACUUGGUGUCUGGAGUUUUAAUGCUCCGGGUGCCGUCGCUAACGUUUUUAGUAUUCCGCCUGGGGAGUACGCUCGCAAGAGUGAAACUC
rnacentral:rRNA from 1 species